UAAUAUAUACUCAUUGACAUCCAAUCUACAACACUCAAGCUCUACAAAUUUUUUAUGAAUUUAUAUUUUUUCCAACUGGCAAUUACAUCUACACAUCCUUUUUUUUUUUUUAAAUUUAAUAGGUUUUAAAUUUAUAAGUCAGUUUUUAUUCAUUUUAUACAGAAAAUUCAUGUAUUCUUCUAGUCUGAGAUUGUACAUUUUUUAUUGAUAUUAUAUAUAUGUAAGUGGGGUAAAAUAUUUUGUUAGCUUUUCUUUUAAUUGUUGCUGUUGAAUGUUAUCAAAAAUUAUAUAUAUUAAUAGGGCUUCCAUUUUGACAAGAAGGAGCCCAUUUAAACAAUUUGUCAUAUUUCUUUUGUGGCAUGCUUUUAAAAAGAAUGAAAUGUGUAUAAUGUCUAAAAGUAAAAUACAAUUAUUUAUAAAG
rnacentral:misc_RNA from 1 species